AUUGCACGCUGGCGGCAGGCUUAACACAUGCAAGUCGAGCGAGCGGCGGACGGGUGAGUAAUUUCUGGGAAACUGCCUGAUGGAGGGGGUUAACUACUGGACACGGUAGCUAAUACCGCAUACCAUCAGAUGUGCCCAGAUGGGAUUAGCUAGUAGGUGGGGUAAUGGCUCACCUAGGCGCCGAUCCCUAGCUGGUCUGAGAGGAUGACCAGCCACACUGGAAAUGAGACACGGUCCAGACGCCUACGGUAGGCAGCAGUGGGGAAUAUUGCACAAUGGGCGCAAGCCUGAUGCAGCGAUGCCGCGUGUGUGAAGAAGGCCUUCGGGUUGUAAAGCACUUGCAGCGAGGAGGCGUUACUCGCAGAAGAAGCACCGGCUAACUCCGUGGCAGCAGCCGCGGUAAUUC
rnacentral:rRNA from 1 species